GCACUUUAAGCAGUGAAGAAGACUCUAUGGUUAAUACCCAUAGACGAUGACAUUAGCUGCAGAAUAAGCACCGGCUAACUCUGUGCCAGCAGCCGCGGUAAUACAGAGGGUGCAAGCGUUAAUCGGAAUUACUGGGCGUAAAGCGAGCGUAGGUGGCUUGAUAAGUCAGAUGUGAAAGCCCCGGGCUUAACCUGGGAACGGCAUCUGAUACUGUUAGGCUAGAGUAGGUGAGAGGAAGGUAGAAUUCCAGGUGUAGCGGUGAAAUGCGUAGAGAUCUGGGGGAAUACCGAUGGCGAAGGCAGCCUUCUGGCAUCAUACUGACACUGAGGUUCGAAAGCGUGGGUAGCAAACAGGAUUAGAUACCCUGGUAGUCCACGCCGUAAACGAUGUCUACUAGUCGUUGG
rnacentral:rRNA from 1 species